rnacentral:lncRNA from 1 species
CUGCGGGCGGCGCCCGGCGCACGCUGAGGGGGCGAGGGGGGUCCCAGGGCGUUGGUGGUGCAGGGGGGGGAAGCCAAAAAAUGGUCCUGCGGCGAGGUUUGGGUCUGUGAGGGAAGGAGCUCGGCUUGCUGCGGCUCGUCGCGGUGCUAUGAGUGGCACGCAGCACUCGUACAUAGCCACGAGCUUAGCUGGAGAUGCAGCCAUCAAAAAUACAGAGCUAUUCUGAAAAAAGAAAAGCGGAAAAAAAAGCGGCAGGCACUAGCCAAACUGAGAGACUCUGAAGCUACAGAAAAAGAUGAAUCAGUGUCUGAGGAGGAAGAGGAGGAACUGGAAGAAGAGGAAGAAGAAGAAGAGGAGAAAAAGCUCGAGGCAGAAAGGUGAAACAGCUAGAAACUAGCAUAUGCUUAGUAGAUAGGUUUUUAGCCAAUUACAU